GUCGAGGGGCAGCGCAGUGUAGCAAUACAUGGGGCGGCGACCGGCAAACGGGUGCGNNNNNNGUACAGAACCUUCCUUUAAGUGGGGAAUAGCCCAGGGAAACUUGGAUUAAUACCCCGUAAUAUUAUGAGGUGGCAUCACCUUAUAAUUAUAGCUCCGGCGCUUGAAGAUGGCUGUGCGGCUGAUUAGGUAGUUGGCGGGGUAACGGCCCACCAAGCCCUCGAUCAGUAACUGGUGUGAGAGCACGACCAGUCACACGGGCACUGAGACACGGGCCCGACUCCUACGGGAGGCAGCAGUAAGGAAUAUUGGUCAAUGGACGCAAGUCUGAACCAGCCAUGCCGCGUGGAGGAUGAAGGUCCUCUGGAUUGUAAACUCCUUUUCUCUGGGGCGAAAAAAGCCCAUUCUUGGGCACUUGACAGUACCAGAGGAAUAAGCACCGGCUAACUCCGUGCCAGCAGCCGCG
rnacentral:rRNA from 1 species